UUAUCAUUUAGAGGAAGGAGAAGUCGUAACAAGGUUUCCGUAGGUGAACCUGCGGAAGGAUCAUUGUCGAAUCCUGCGAUAGCAGAAUGACCCGCUAACACGUAAACACAUCGGGCAAGCGUCGGGGGGCUUCGGUCCCUUGUCUGCGAACCCUGGUAGGUGGCUACUCUCGGGUGGCCAUUGGCCUGUAAAAUCAUUCGGGCGCGGAAUGCGCCAAGGAACUUAAAAUUGAAUUGUAUGUCCGCAUCCCGUUAGCGGGCAGCGGCGUCAUUCCAAAACACAAUGACUCUCGACAACGGAUAUCUCGGCUCUCGCAUCGAUGAAGAACGUAGCGAAAUGCGAUACUUGGUGUGAAUUGCAGAAUCCCGUGAACCAUCGAGUCUUUGAACGCAAGUUGCGCCCGAAGCCACUAGGCUGAGGGCACGUCUGCCUGGGUGUCACGCAUGAUCUUUGCCCACAACCAUUCACUCCUUGAGGAGAUGUGUCGGUUUGGGGGCGGAAAUUGGCCUCCCGUGCCUUGUUGUGCGGUUGGCGCAAAAUCUAGUCUCCGGCGACGGACGUCGUGACAUCGGUGGUUGUAAAAGACCCUCAUGUCUUGUCGCGCGAAUCCUCGCCAUCUUAGUGAGCUCUAGGACCCUUAGGCGGCACACACUCUGUGCGCUUCGAUUGUGACCCCAGGUCAGGCGGGACUACCCGCUGAGUUUAAGCAUAUCAAUA
rnacentral:rRNA from 1 species